rnacentral:lncRNA from 1 species
CUCACUAGUCUAAACUUCAAACUAUUGGUUCUCAGUGUAGGUAGUGGUCUUGAAAUACACGUCCUUUGAGGUAGAUUCUCACUAGUCUAAAUUUCAAACUGUUGGUUCUCAGUGUAGGUAGUGGUCUUGAAAUACACGUCCUUUGUGACUUUUGUGGUAGAUUCUCACUAGUCUAAACUUCAAACUGUUGGUUCUCAGUGUAUAGGUAGUGGUCUUAAAAUACACGUCCUUUGUGGUAGAUUCUCACUAGUCUAAACUUCAAACUGUUGGUUCUCAGUGUGGGUAGUGGUCUUGAAAUACACGUCCUUUGUGGUAGAUUCUCACUAGUCUAAACUUCAAACUGUUGGUUCUCAGUGUAGGUAGUGGUCUUGAAAUACACGUCCUUUGUGGUAGAUUCUCACUAGUCUAAACUUCAAACUGUUGGUUCUCAGUGUAGGUAGUGGUCUUGAAAUACACGUCCUUUGUGGUAGAUUCUCACUAGUCUAAACUUCAAACUGUUGGUUCUCAGUGUACUGUAGGUAAUGGUCUUAAAAUACACGUCCUUUGUGGUUCUCAGAAUCUCAGUGUUACGACAUGCACGGUUCUCACUUUCUGAGAAAAUUGGAAAGGUCUCCGUUUCUCCGAUUGUUUCACGAAGCUCGUCCGAUUUGUUUAGAAUAUCUCCGGCUAGCGGCGAAGUCGGCCAGACGCGAAGCAGCUGCUCAAAUGAAAGAAAUGCUAAUUUGUAAAAAAGCUUUAUAAAAAUUUCUAUUGUGUUCUCUUCAAGUGAGUAGCAACAAAGUUUUUUCGUAUACAGUUGUUGUCAGGGACUUUUACCAUUAAUUAGUGAUGAGCUGAAGGCGAGAAAAUUGUUGCACGCAGCGAUAUAAGCCACAGCGAAACACACUUUCAACAACACAAAAUUGAUACCGAAGGUAGGAAAUUGAUCGCUUUCUGUUGUAGUAUUUUGCUGUUUGCUGUGAAGGGAUUAAUGGAUAUUGUUAUAACGUCCGCGUUGUUUUACUUGUAGAUUAGCGACGACAUGAUAGGAUUGCAAUAUUCGCGUUAAAACGUUCAUAACUUGUCUUAAAUUUGAAAUAUAUAUGAUCGAAAUACAGCCAGUUUUCGUUACAUUUUGGCCAUUUAAAUUUUUGGAAAGCGUUUUAGGUCGUAAAUACGACAGCUUGUGCACUUUUUGUAGCGGUUAAAAGGGCAAGUGUUGCCCUGUACAUAAACUUAAACGACAAUCCUUAAUUUUGCGUGCUUUUUGGCAAUAUAGCUACAAUGUUAUUCACUUUUUUUGAGUGGAAUAAAGAUUUUAUGCUGUUAUAUGAAAGGGCAACAUGUUGGUCGAAACAUUCCUCUUUGCUGAUUGCAACAAUGUUGGUAUGUUUGUUGACUUUGGGAGAUGAAAUCAAAUUUGACUUUGUUCAAAAUUUCAACCGACAUUGUUCGAAAGCCUGUUGUUUGGCAAUGUUAUCUGAUAUCACAGGUUUGACUUUUGACCAAAAUGUUUAUCCAGCAUUGCCGGGACAUCAACGUUGGCCAUGUUUGACUCGGUCUUGACUGUUUUACCGUAAUUUGUCUUGCAAAAAAAAAAAAAACGACGGCCGAACUUGUUAGCCAGAUAUAUUCUGACAGUGUGCCCUGGUAUGCCCUACUAUAACAAGGCCCAACUUGUUAGCCGGAUAAUACCAGUGGGCCCUGGUAUACCCUACUAUAUUAUUUCACUCUGUCUAAUGCCUAUUUCAAUAAUAAUUUAUUUAGGUUUAAUCCAACUUAGGAAGAUCGCAAUAGGACUACAAAUGAAUGUAUUGGUUUUGUGAUGAAGAACUGUGAAAUCUAGCUGGUGGCACAAACAUAGUUUAAACAUCAAUGGAAAUGGCUAACUGUACAUGAUUUCUGUAGAAAACCUAUAUUUUUGAGGAAACUUGGUGUCCUAUUGCACAAUACAUUAAAUCAUGUAGUUCGCCUGGACUGUAUUCAACCUAAUCUAGCGUUUUCGUGCUUGUGACGAAUUCACACGGACGUGAAUCUAACUAGUUACACGUCUAUUGUUUUGUGUUGCGGCGUCAUGGGUACUGAUAAAGCACUGCGGAUCAAUCACGGCCAUGUUGUAUUUGUCGGCAGCAAAGGAAGCGGAAAGAGCAGUCUGUAUCAAUGUUUGAAAUCUCCAAACCCACAAGUCAUUGAUGGCCUGAGUUGUUCGGUAUUGGUCGAAGAUUGGAGGCCGUUUAGUAAUGAAAGUCCUG